GCGCGUGGCUUUAUGGUUAGAGUAUUCGGCUCACAAUCGAACGGUCGUGGGUUCGAUUCCUAGUGGCGCG
rnacentral:tRNA from 1 species